AAAAAAAAUUCGCCGUCGAGUUUUCCCAACGAAUCAACGCUCUUAUUCUCUUCCUCUCAUUCUCCUGAGCUUGGUGGCAAAACAUCUUCGAAGAGGAAGGAAAUCACCGACCAGUGCGCGCGUCUCUAUGCGAAACGACAUGUUUUGUGGGAAUAGCUUCCCAAUCAAAGAAGUUGGCCGGAAAAUGCCCCGUGAUCCAUCUCUAGAGCAACUUGAGUUCGCUAUACCCAAAUAUCAAGUUAGAUUUGAGCGU